GAGGAUCUGGGUGUAGAGCUGUUUCUUCAGAGACAUACAAGAAGAGUCUUUGUUUUUGAGUAUCCUCUUAUAUAGAAGUUCUGACUGCAGUACAAGGAAAGUUUGCAAGAAAACAGGAUAUUUGUCUCUGAAGAGGGUGUCUGCUACUUAUUUCCCACAUAAACUUCCUGCUGUUGCUACUUUGGAAACUACUGUCUGAUCUACUGGAGUCCCAGGCCUUUAACUCCAUCACUGUUCACAAGGUUCCCCUGGGCUUUUGAAAUGACUUUGCCAUCUUGUAUUGCUCCUGCUUCCAUAAGCAUCCACUGACUGAGGCACUUGUCAAGCUCAUUCUUGCUCAUCUUUCCCUUUAAUAGAUGACUUGUUUUCCCAUUUCUCCAGUUUUCCCCCAAUCCUCUCAUGUCACUCUUCUUAGUACCUGAACUUGAACCAUUGUCACUCUCUGUAGCUUGUGAAAUGGAGCUCCCUUCUUUUGUAGAUCAAAACUUCAGCACUUUCCCACUGAACACAGUAAACACUCAUAUGUUUUAAAUCUCCCUGGAAAUGUGAUUUCCUGUUUUUCUUCAAAUUCAUAUUUGCUCUUUUCAUCCUCACAUUAGCACGCUUGUUAUGACCUUCCUUUCUUUAACUUAACCAUUCUCUAUGGAUGGUGAUAAUACUGUGCCAGACAUUUUUUUUAAAUCUGACUGGUGAAAUAGCAUUU